UACGUAGGGUGCGAGCGUUGUCCGGAAUUAUUGGGCGUAAAGAGCUCGUAGGCGGUUUGUCGCGUCUGCUGUGAAAACUCGGGGCUUAACCCCGGGCCUGCAGUGGGUACGAGCAGACUAGAGUGCGGUAGGGGAGACUGGAAUUCCUGGUGUAGCGGUGAAAUGCGCAGAUAUCAGGAGGAACACCGGUGGCGAAGGCGGGUCUCUGGGCCGUAACUGACGCUGAGGAGCGAAAGCGUGGGGAGCGAACAGG
rnacentral:rRNA from 1 species